rnacentral:rRNA from 1 species
AACGGCCGUACCAUGCUGAAUAUACCGGUUCUCGUUAGAUCACCGAAGUUAAGCAUCAUUGGGCGCGGUCAGUACUUGGGUGGGUAACCACCUGGGAACACUGCGUGCCGUU